AUAGAGCAGUUUGGUAGCUCAUAAGGCUCAUAACCUUGGGGCUGCGGGUUCGAUUCCCACU
rfam:Triticum aestivum genome assembly, contig: Triticum_aestivum_CS42_TGACv1_scaffold_061777_1DL